rnacentral:rRNA from 1 species
GACGGGACCGCACAAGCGGUGGAUGAUGUGAUUAAUUCGAUGCAACGCGAAAACCUUACCCACCUUUGACAUGUACGGAAUCCUUUAGAGAUAGAGGAGUGCUCGAAAGAGAGCCGUAACACAGGUGCUGCAUGGCUGUCGUCAGCUCGUGUCGUGAGAUGUUGGGUUAAGUCCCGCAACGAGCGCAACCCUUGCCAUUAGUUGCUACGAAAGGGCACUCUAAUGGGACUGCCGGUGACAAACCGGAGGAAGGUGGGGAUGACGUCAAGUCCUCAUGGCCCUUAUAGGUGGGGCUACACACGUCAUACAAUGGCCGGUACAGAGGGUAGCCAACCCGCGAGGGGGAGCCAAUCCCACAAAGCCGGUCGUAGUCCGGAUCGCAGUCUGCAACUCGACUGCGUGAAGUCGGAAUCGCUAGUAAUCGCGGAUCAGCAUGUCGCGGUGAAUACGUUCCCGGGUCUU